rnacentral:rRNA from 1 species
CCUACGGGAGGCAGCAGUGGGGAAUUUUGGACAAUGGGCGCAAGCCUGAUCCAGCCAUGCCGCGUGCGGGAAGAAGGCCUUCGGGUUGUAAACCGCUUUUGUCAGGGAAGAAACGCUCUGGGCUAAUACCUCGGGGUAAUGACGGUACCUGAAGAAUAAGCACCGGCUAACUACGUGCCAGCAGCCGCGGUAAUACGUAGGGUGCAAGCGUUAAUCGGAAUUACUGGGCGUAAAGCGUGCGCAGGCGGCUAUGCAAGACAGAUGUGAAAUCCCCGGGCUCAACCUGGGAACUGCAUUUGUGACUGCAUAACUGGAGUACGGCAGAGGGGGAUGGAAUUCCGCGUGUAGCAGUGAAAUGCGUAGAUAUGCGGAGGAACACCGAUGGCGAAGGCAAUCCCCUGGGCCUGUACUGACGCUCAUGCACGAAAGCGUGGGGAGCAAACAGGAUUAGAUACCCUGGUAGUCCACGCCCUAAACGAUGUCAACUGGUUGUUGGGAGGGUUUCUUCUCAGUAACGUAGCUAACGCGUGAAAGUUGACCGCCUGGGGAUACGGCCGCAAGGUUGAAACUCGAAAGAUAGUCGGNGNGNGAGAGACGACGACGACGACGAGGAGGAGGAGG